rnacentral:tRNA from 1 species
CUUUCUCUAGUGUUCAACGGCUAGCACACUACGUUUGGGACGUAGUAGAGACAGUUCGAAUCUGUCGGGGAAGACCA